UACGGGGGGGGCAAGCGUUGUUCGGAAUUACUGGGCGUAAAGGGCUCGUAGGCGGCCAACUAAGUCAGACGUGAAAUCCCUCGGCUUAACCGGGGAACUGCAUCUGAUACUGGAUGGCUUGAGUUCGGGAGAGGGAUGCGGAAUUCCAGGUGUAGCGGUGAAAUGCGUAGAUAUUGGGAGGAACACCAGUGGCGAAGGCGGCUCACUGGACUGGUACUGACGCUGAUGCGCGAAAGCGUGGGGAGCAAACAGG
rnacentral:rRNA from 1 species